GACGAACGCUGGCGGCGCGCCUAACACAUGCAAGUCGAGCGAACUCACGAGGAGCUUGCUUUUCUUGACUUAGCGGCGAACGGGUGAGUAACACGUGGGUAACCUGCCCUUGAGUCGGGGACAACAUCUGGAAACGACUGCUAAUACCGCAUAAGAUUACGAAUCUCAAUGUUUCUUAGGGAAAGAGAGUUAUUCUCUCUAGUAUAGACCCGCGUCGUAUUAGCUAGUUGGUGAGGUAACGGCUUACCAAGGCAACGAUUCGUAGCCGACCUGAGAGGGUGAUCGGCCACACUGGAACUGAGACACGGUCCAGACUCCUACGGGAGGCAGCAGUAGGGAAUCUUCCGCAAUGGGCGAAUGCCUGACGGAGCAACGCCGCGUGAGUGAUGAAGGUCUUCGGAUCGUAAAACUCUGUUAUUAGGGAAGAACAAACGUGUAAGUAACUGUGCACGUCUUGACGGUACCUAAUCAGAAAGCCACGGCUAACUACGUG
rnacentral:rRNA from 1 species